rnacentral:siRNA from 1 species
AGGACUAUGAAUACGUGAUGA